rnacentral:lncRNA from 1 species
AAACACGUUGAUUAUACAUGAGUAUACGUAUAUCUAUAUAUACGUAUUUAAUGUUUCUCAAGGGUGUGGAGGCAACGGAGGCCAUUUCCCGAACUUGGGGUGGUGAAUGUAUUUAGGAGGAAGAGGUGGAAACUUUGGAAGUGGUGGGAGCUGUGGAAGUGGCGGACAUGGCUUCUUUGGAAUCACCACUACCGGUGGUUUGUAUACUGGUACCGGCGGAGGGCAUGGCUUCUUGGGGAUCACAACCGGUGGUUUGUAUAUUGGUACCGGCGGAGGACACGGCUUCUUCACAAUUGGUGGUAUGUAGAUUGGUGGAUGCUCUAUCUUCGGCGGCGGCUUGUAAACCGGAACUGGAGGUGGGUGCUCUAUCUUCGGCGGUGGAAUGACUAUCUUUGGCGGCGGCUUGUGGACUGGAACCGGCGGUGGAUCAACUUUCUUAGGCGGACAAGGCUUCUUCGUUGGUGGUUUGUGGACUGGCACCGGCGGUGGAUCAACUUUCUUAGGCGGACAUGGCUUCUUCGGUAGCUUGUGUACCGGAACGGGAGGUGGGUGCUCUAUCUUUGGCGGGGGCUUGUAAACCGGAACCGGAGGUGGCUUCUCUAUCUUUGGCGGUGGCUUGUAAACCGGAACCGGAGGUGGGUGCUCUAUCUUCGGCGGUUUAGGUGGACAAGGCUUCUUAGGAAUAGGCGGUGGAAGCUCCACCUUUGGUGGUGGCUUGUAAACUGGGACAGGUGGUGGAACCUCUUUCUUAGGCGGUGGAUCGUAAACCGGAACCGGCGGGGGAAUCUCUUUCUUUGGCGGCGGCUCGUAAACUGGUACCGGGGGUGGAACCUCCACAGGAGGACUGUAUUUAGGUGGACAUGGCUUCUUGAGAAACGGUGGAAGUUCCAAAGGUGGAGGUAAAGGGAAAGGAUGAUCAAAGCCCUUAAAAGGAGGCAACUUAGGCAUAGGCCAGAAGAAUUUGGAAACGCAAAUCUCCGGUGAAAAUUUCAGAUUUUGUUUGAGACCCAAAAUGUGUUUAUCCCCGGAUUUGGAUAAAAACACGAUCUUG